CGGACGGGUGAGUAACACGUGGAUAACCUACCUAUAAGACUGGGAUAACUUCGGGAAACCGGAGCUAAUACCGGAUAAUAUAUUGAACCGCAUGGUUCAAUAGUGAAAGACGGUUUUGCUGUCACUUAUUGAUGGAUCCGCGCCGCAUUAGCUAGUUGGUAAGGUAACGGCUUACCAAGGCAACGAUGCGUAGCCGACCUGAGAGGGUGAUCGGCCACACUGGAACUGAGACACGGUCCAGACUCCUACGGGAGGCAGCAGCU
rnacentral:rRNA from 1 species